rnacentral:rRNA from 1 species
CAGCCGCCACGGUAAUACGAGGGGGGCAAGCGUUGUUCGGAAUUAUUGGGCGUAAAGGGCGCGUAGGCGGUUUGACAAGUCUGAUGUGAAAUCUAUGGGCUCAACCCAUAGCCUGCAUUAGAAACUGUCGGGCUUGAGUAUGGGAGAGGUGAGUGGAAUUUCCGGUGUAGCGGUGAAAUGCGUAGAUAUCGGAAGGAACACCUGUGGCGAAAGCGGCUCACUGGACCAUAACUGACGCUGAGGCGCGAAAGCUAGGGGAGCAAACAGGAUUAGAUACCCCUGUAGUCCCUGUCUCUUAUAC